rnacentral:rRNA from 1 species
GUGGGCGGCACUAGCGCGGUGGUCCCACCUGACCCCAUGCCGAACUCAGAAGUGAAACGCCGUAGCGCCGAUGGUAGUGUGGGGUCUCCCCAUGUGAGAGUAGGGAACUGCCAGGC